rnacentral:rRNA from 1 species
GAUGAACGCUGGCGGCGUGCUUAACACAUGCAAGUCGAACGGAAAGGCCCAAGCUUGCUUGGGUACUCGAGUGGCGAACGGGUGAGUAACACGUGGGUGAUCUGCCCUGCACUUCGGGAUAAGCCUGGGAAACUGGGUCUAAUACCGGAUAGGACCACUUCUUGGAUGUUGUGGUGGAAAGUUUUUUCGGUGUGGGAUGAGCUCGCGGCCUAUCAGCUUGUUGGUGGGGUAAUGGCCUACCAAGGCGUCGACGGGUAGCCGGCCUGAGAGGGUGUACGGCCACAUUGGGACUGAGAUACGGCCCAGACUCCUACGGGAGACAGCAGUGGGGAAUAUUGCACAAUGGGCGCAAGCCAGAUGCAGCGACGCCGCGUGGGGGAUGACGGCCUUCGGGUUGUAAACUCCUUUCGCUAGGGACGAAGCGUUUUGUGACGGUACCUGGAGAAGAAGCACCGGCUAACUACGUG